rnacentral:rRNA from 1 species
CUACCAUGCAGUCGAGGGGUAACAUAGGAAAGCUUGCUUUUCUGAUGACGACCGGCGCACGGGUGCGUAACGCGUAUACAACCUACCUUUUAGCGGGGAAUAGCCCAGGGAAACUUGGAUUAAUGCCCCAUAGUAUGGAGGUCUCUCCUGAGAUUUUCAUUAAACAUUUAUGGCUAUUAGAUGGGUAUGCGUCCUAUUAGUUAGUUGGUAAGGUAACGGCUUACCAAGGCAGCGAUAGGUAGGGGUCCUGAGAGGGAGAUCCCCCACACUGGUACUGAGACACGGACCAGACUCCUACGGGAGGCAGCAGUGAGGAAUAUUGGACAAUGGGCGAGAGCCUGAUCCAGCCAUGCCGCGUGCAGGAAGACUGCCCUAUGGGUUGUAAACUGCUUUUACAGAGGAAGAACCACCCCCACGUGUGGGGGUUUGACGGUACUCUGCGAAUAAGGAUCGGCUAACUCCGUGCCAGCAGCCGCGGUAAUACGGAGGAUCCAAGCGUUAUCCGGAAUCAUUGGGUUUAAAGGGUCCGUAGGCGGGCAGUUAAGUCAGUGGUGAAAGUCUUCCGCUCAACGGGAGAACUGCCAUUGAUACUGAUUGUCUUGAGUUAUUAUGAAGUGGUUAGAAUGAGUAGUGUAGCGGUGAAAUGCAUAGAUAUUACUCAGAAUACCGAUUGCGAAGGCAGAUCACUAAUAAUAUACUGACGCUGAUGGACGAAAGCGUAGGUAGCGAACAGGAUUAGAUACCCUGGUAGUCUACGCCGUAAACGAUGGUUACUAGCUGUUCGGCCCGAUUGAGGGCUGAGUGGUUAGCGAAGUGAUAA